rnacentral:rRNA from 1 species
UGUUUAUAAAAAUUUUUAUAAAUACAACCUGCUCCAUGAAAAAUUUUUAAAUAGCUGCAAUUUUUGUACUAAGGUAGCAUAAUCAUUUGUUUUUUAAUUUUAAACUAGAAUGAAAGGUAAAACAAAUUAUUUCUUUAUUAUUUAUUUUUUUAUAACUUAUAUUAAAUAUAAAAAUAUAUUUUUUUAAAAAAAAGACGACAAGACCCUAUUGAACUUUACUUUAGUUUAGCUGGGGAAGCUAAAUAACAAAUAUUUUAUUAAAAUUUUAUAAAUGACCCAAAAUAUUUGAAUAAAUAAUCAAGUUACCAUAGGGAUAACAGCGCAAUAAAUUUUUAAAGUUCUUAUUUUAAAAUUUGCUUACGACCUCGAUGUUGAAUUAAAAAUCUUUUCUAAGCAAAAAUAUUAAAAGUAGGUCUGUUCGACCUUUAAAAUUCUACAUGAU